ACCUGGGUGGCUCAGUCGGUUGAGCGUCUGACUUCAGCUCAGGUCAUGACAUCAGGGUUCAUGGGUUUGAGCCCCUCAUCGGUC
rnacentral:tRNA from 1 species